rnacentral:lncRNA from 1 species
CUUUCUCUAUGUAUCUUAUUCUCAGUGCUUCCUCCAGAGGAGAGUGGUGAAGCUGACUACUGCACUAGCCAGAGUUUUUCUCCCAGCAAAUGUAAUUGGAGCCUUUUUUUUUUUUUUUUCCAGGAAGACCAAGACCGGAUAUACCA